UGGGGAAUAUUGGACAAUGGGCGAAAGCCUGAUCCAGCCAUGCCGCGUGUGUGAAGAAGGUCUUCGGAUUGUAAAGCACUUUAAGUUGGGAGGAAGGGCAGUAAGCGAAUACCUUGCUGUUUUGACGUUACCGACAGAAUAAGCACCGGCUAACUCUGUGCCAGCAGCCGCGGUAAUACAGAGGGUGCAAGCGUUAAUCGGAAUUACUGGGCGUAAAGCGCGCGUAGGUGGUUCGUUAAGUUGAAUGUGAAAGCCCCGGGCUCAACCUGGGAACUGCAUCCAAGACUGGCGAGCUAGAGUAGGGCAGAGGGUGGUGGAAUUUCCUGUGUAGCGGUGAAAUGCGUAGAUAUAGGAAGGAGCACCAGUGGCGAAGGCGACCACCUGGGCUCAUACUGACACUGAGGUGCGAAAGCGUGGGGAGCAAACAGG
rnacentral:rRNA from 1 species